rnacentral:tRNA from 1 species
GCGGUCGUGGCGGAACUGGCAGACGCGUACGUUUGAGGGGCGUAUGGUAACACCGUAUGGGUUCAAGUCCCAUCGUCCGCACCA